UACAGAGGUCCCAAGCGUUGUUCGGAUUCACUGGGCGUAAAGGGCGCGUAGGCGGUCGGGUAAGUCUGAUGUGAAAUCUCACAGCUUAACUGUGAAACUGCAUUGGAUACUAUCCGGCUCGAGGAAUGGAGGGGAGACUGGAAUACUUGGUGUAGCAGUGAAAUGCGUAGAUAUCAAGUGGAACACCAGUGGCGAAGGCGAGUCUCUGGACAUUUCCUGACGCUGAGGCACGAAAGCCAGGGGAGCAAACAGG
rnacentral:rRNA from 1 species